UACGGAGGGGGCUAGCGUUGUUCGGAAUUACUGGGCGUAAAGCGCACGUAGGCGGCUUUGUAAGUUAGAGGUGAAAGCCCGGGGCUCAACUCCGGAAUUGCCUUUAAGACUGCAUCGCUAGAAUUGUGGAGAGGUGAGUGGAAUUCCGAGUGUAGAGGUGAAAUUCGUAGAUAUUCGGAAGAACACCAGUGGCGAAGGCGGCUCACUGGACCGGUAUUGACGCUGAGGUGCGAAAGCGUGGGGAGCGAACAGG
rnacentral:rRNA from 1 species